CACCUACGGGGCGCAGCAGUGGGGAAUAUUGCACAAUGGGGGAAACCCUGAUGCAGCGACGCCGCGUGAGUGAAGAAGUAUCUCGGUAUGUAAAGCUCUAUCAGCAGGAAAGAUAAUGACGGUACCUGACUAAGAAGCCCCGGCUAACUACGGGCCAGCAGCCGCGGUAAUACGUAGGGGGCAAGCGUUAUCCGGAUUUACUGGGUGUAAAGGGAGCGUAGACGGCAGCGCAAGUCUGGAGUGAAAUGCUGGGGCUCAACCCAGGAACUGCUUUGGAAACUGUGCGGCUCGAGUGAGGGAGGGGG
rnacentral:rRNA from 1 species